UACGGAGGGGGCUAGCGUUGUUCGGAAUUACUGGGCGUAAAGCGUGCGCAGGCGGUUUUGUAAGCCAGAUGUGAAAGCCCCGGGCUCAACCUGGGAAUGGCAUUUGGGACUGCAAGGCUUGAGUGCGGCAGAGGAGACUGGAAUUCCUGGUGUAGCAGUGAAAUGCGUAGAUAUCAGGAGGAAUACCGAUGGCGAAGGCAGGUCUCUGGGCUGACACUGACGCUCAUGCACGAAAGCGUGGGGAGCAAACAGG
rnacentral:rRNA from 1 species